UAUGAAGUGAAUUAACUUAAGAUGUUUUAUUAACUUUUUAUCUUGAACUUUAUAUUUUUGUUGAAAAUAACAAAAGUUUCUUUAAGACUAAAAGACCCUAAAAUUUUUAUAAUUUAUAAAUAAUUAUUUGGUUGGGGCAAUAAUUUUAUAAAAAUAAUAAAAUAUAUUAAAUUGUUU
rnacentral:rRNA from 1 species